rnacentral:rRNA from 1 species
AACGUAGGGUGCAAGCGUUGUCCGGAAUUACUGGGUGUAAAGGGAGCGCAGGCGGACCUGUAAGUUGGGAGUGAAAUACAUGGGCUCAACCCAUGAACUGCUUUCAAAACUAUAGGUCUUGAGUGGUGCAGAGGUAGGCGGAAUUCCCGGUGUAGCGGUGGAAUGCGUAGAUAUCGGGAGGAACACCAGUGGCGAAGGCGGCCUACUGGGCACUAACUGACGCUGAGGCUCGAAAGCAUGGGUAGCAAACAGGAUUAGAUACCCUGGUAGUCCAUGCCGUAAACGAUGAUUACUAGGUGUGGGAGGAUUGACCCCUUCCGUGCCGCAGUUAACACAUUAAGUAAUCCACCUGGGGAGUACGACCGCAAGGUUGAA